UACGUAGGGUGCAAGCGUUAAUCGGAAUUACUGGGCGUAAAGCGUGCGCAGGCGGUUUGGUAAGCCAGAUGUGAAAUCCCCGGGCUUAACCUGGGAACUGCAUUUGUGACUGCCCGGCUAGAGUGUGUCAGAGGGGGGUAGAAUUCCACGUGUAGCAGUGAAAUGCGUAGAUAUGUGGAGGAAUACCGAUGGCGAAGGCAGCCCCCUGGGAUAACACUGACGCUCAUGCACGAAAGCGUGGGGAGCAAACAGG
rnacentral:rRNA from 1 species